UACGUAGGGGGCUAGCGUUGCUCGGAAUGACUGGGCGUAAAGGGCGCGUAGGCGGAUUGCUUUGUCGGGCGUGAAAUUCCAGGGCUUAACCUUGGGGCUGCGUUCGAGACGGGUGAUCUUGAGUUCGGAAGAGGGUCGUGGAAUUCCCAGUGUAGAGGUGAAAUUCGUAGAUAUCGGGAGGAACACCGGUGGCGAAGGCGGCGAUCUGGGUAGAUACUGACGCUGAGGUGCGAAAGCGUGGGGAGCAAACAGG
rnacentral:rRNA from 1 species